rnacentral:rRNA from 1 species
AUUGAACGCUGGCGGCAUGCCUUACACAUGCAAGUCGAACGGCAGCGGACCUUCGGGNGCCGGCGAGUGGCGAACGGGUGAGUAAUAUAUCGGAACGUACCUUUCAGUGGGGGAUAACGUAGCGAAAGUUACGCUAAUACCGCAUAUUCUGUGAGCAGGAAAGCAGGGGAUCGCAAGACCUUGCGCUGAUUGAGCGGCCGAUAUCAGAUUAGCUAGUUGGUGAGGUAAAGGCUCACCAAGGCGACGAUCUGUAGCGGGUCUGAGAGGAUGAUCCGCCACACUGGAACUGAGACACGGUCCAGACUCCUACGGGAGGCAGGCAGUGGGGAAUUUUGGACAAUGGGCGCAAGCCUGAUCCAGCCAUGCCGCGUGAGUGAAGAAGGCC